rnacentral:rRNA from 1 species
CCAUAUCACGUUGAAACACCGGUCCUCCUCCGAUCACCGAAGUUAAGCAACGUUGAGCCUCGUUACUAACUAGAUGGGUCACCGCUUGUGAAUACCAGCUACUGAA